AAACGACUCUCGGCAACGGAUAUCUCGGCUCUCGCAUCGAUGAAGAACGUAGCGAAAUGCGAUACUUGGUGUGAAUUGCAGAAUCCCGUGAACCAUCGAGUCUUUGAACGCAAGUUGCGCCCGAAGCCGUUCGGCCGAGGGCACGCCUGCCUGGGCGUCAC
rnacentral:rRNA from 1 species